UGGCUGAGUUUGCAAGCAGAAGCACCUGAUUGGGCAGUGGGGAUUCCAUAUGCAGAGUUUGCAAGCAGAAGCACCUGAUUGGGCAGUGGGGAUUCCCUAUGCAGAUAAGGAGGAGGGGCCUGUGAUGGUUAAGGUCAGUUGGAAUGCAGCUGUUACUGGUCGGAAGAUGUUCUUGAUAUAAAAGGAUAGCAGGCAGGGGUCUGCAAAAAGACAGGUCGUGAGGGAGGAAAGAGCCCCUUCAGGAGAAGGAGGAUGCCAUUGUUGUGAAGAUUUGGUCCUGCUGUCAUUGCAUUGAUUUGAUCUUCAGGAAUGUAGCAUCUGAAACAGGCCCCUUCUAUUGUCCUUGUGAUUACAGCUGCUGAAUGGAACUUGUUCUUUGGUUUCAUAAAGGAAAUGUUCACAGUGUUCCAUUUCAAAGUCAUGGAGAAAAAUAAAGAUACUUGGAACAGCU